rnacentral:misc_RNA from 1 species
AAAGUCGUAACAAGGUUUCCGUAGGUGAACCUGCGGAAGGAUCAUUAAUGAAUGUUUUAUUGGGUGUAAAAAGCCUGAUAUAACCAUUUUGUGAACUGUUUGAUGUUAAUUUUGGGUAAAAUGGAAGCAAUUCUGUUUGCCCGAAUUUUAUAAACUAUUUGUCUUAAAUAUUUUGGUCAGUAACUUUUUUUUCGUAAGAAAAAUUUGAAUACAACUUUUGACAACGGAUCUCUAGGCUCUU